rfam:Ascaris lumbricoides genome assembly, scaffold: ALTE_contig0000052
GGUCUCGUGGUGUAGCGGUUAUCACGCUUGCCUAAGACGCAGGAGGUCGCCGGUUCAAUCCCGGCCGAGAUCA